rnacentral:rRNA from 1 species
GACGAACGCUGGCGGCGUGCCUAAUACAUGCAAGUAGAACGCUGAAGGAGGAGCUUGCUUCUCCGGAUGAGUUGCGAACGGGUGAGUAACGCGUAGGUAACCUGCCUGGUAGCGGGGGAUAACUAUUGGAAACGAUAGCUAAUACCGCAUAAGAGUAGAUGUUGCAUGACAUUUGCUUAAAAGGUGCAAUUGCAUCACUACCAGAUGGACCUGCGUUGUAUUAGCUAGUUGGUGGGGUAACGGCUCACCAAGGCGACGAUACAUAGCCGACCUGAGAGGGUGAGCGGCCACACUGGGACUGAGACACGGCCCAGACUCCUACGGGAGGCAGCAGUAGGGAAUCUUCGGCAAUGGACGGAAGUCUGACCGAGCAACGCCGCGUGAGUGAAGAAGGUUUUCGGAUCGUAAAGCUCUGUUGUAAGAGAAGAACGAGUGUGAGAGUGGAAAGUUCACACUGUGACGGUAUCUUACCAGAAAGGGACGGCUAACUACGUG